GCCCUCCGAUCCAGCCAAAUUCAAUACUGAGGGGCCACAGUGGAGGAGUCACGUGUCUGGCUUUCAGUCCAGAUGGUGCACAGCUGCUGUCUGGUGGAAAAGAUCAGGCUCUGAUGGUGUGGGAUGUGACUGCUCCUGCUGUUCGUUCUAAGACUCUGCCUCAUGCUCACCGAGACUGGAUCACAGGCUGCGUUUGGACUCCAGACUGUGUGUUAAGCUCUUCAAACGAUGGCAGACUUUGUUUGUGGGGCCUUCAGGCUGGGCAGUGUCUGAGGGAAAUCUCCUGGACAAGUCCACUUACCUCUGUCUGCU